rnacentral:antisense_RNA from 1 species
UGGGGAAGGCAGCAGCUCUGGGGUCUGCAGGGGGGCACCUCAUGGUUCCCAACUCUCCUAGAAGCAAAAAGGGAUUCAAAGAGGCCCACUUGAUCACCUGUCAGGCUGCAUAGCAGUGAGGCUUCCUCCUUUACACCGAUGUCGGGGAAAAGAAAACUACCUGGCAAGUUAGGAUACAGCAGGAACGGUCUCCAAGACAGCCAUUGAAAAUGCCCCCAAAUGCUGGAGACCUCAGCUCCUGCACAAAGACAAAACCAUAGAGGAAAGCACUCAGAAAGGAGCAGGAUGAGGGAAUGCAAAGAAAAGGCAAAUGAGGGAAGCGUUGAAAGCCUUGAUACAAUGGCCACAAAGAAGAGCUCUUCACAAUCGAAGCUUGUUAUGUUUGCUUUGCCAUCAUCCACCAUAAAGUCUGGAAUACAACCUUCUUCCCUUUUCAGUAAACAUCUACUGAGUAAAUCA